rnacentral:rRNA from 2 species
CGAACGAACUCUGGUAUUGAUUGGUGCUUGCAUCAUGAUUUACAUUUGAGUGAGUGGCGAACUGGUGAGUAACACGUGGGAAACCUGCCCAGAAGCGGGGGAUAACACCUGGAAACAGAUGCUAAUACCGCAUAACAACUUGGACCGCAUGGUCCGAGUUUGAAAGAUGGCUUCGGCUAUCACUUUUGGAUGGUCCCGCGGCGUAUUAGCUAGAUGGUGGGGUAACGGCUCACCAUGGCAAUGAUACGUAGCCGACCUGAGAGGGUAAUCGGCCACAUUGGGACUGAGACACGGCCCAAACUCCUACGGGAGGCAGCAGUAGGGAAUCUUCCACAAUGGACGAAAGUCUGAUGGAGCAACGCCGCGUGAGUGAAGAAGGGUUUCGGCUCGUAAAACUCUGUUGUUAAAGAAGAACAUAUCUGAGAGUAACUGUUCAGGUAUUGACGGUAUUUAACCAGAAAGCCACGGCUAACUACGUGCCAGCAGCCGCGGUAAUACGUAGGUGGCAAGCGUUGUCCGGAUUUAUUGGGCGUAAAGCGAGCGCAGGCGGUUUUUUAAGUCUGAUGCGAAAUCCUUGUUACGACUUCCCCUAAUCAUCUGUCCCACCUUAGGCGGCUGGUUCCUAAAAGGUUACCCCACCGACUUUGGGUGUUACAAACUCUCAUGGUGUGACGGGCGGUGUGUACAAGGCCCGGGAACGUAUUCACCGCGGCAUGCUGAUCCGCGAUUACUAGCGAUUCCGACUUCAUGUAGGCGAGUUGCAGCCUACAAUCCGAACUGAAAUGGCUUUAAGAGAUUACUUACUCUCGCAGUUCCAAGUGUUGGAGGGUUUCCGCCCUUCAGUGUUGCAGCUAACGCAUUAAGCAUUCCGCCUGGGGAGUACGGCCGCAAGGCUGAAACUCAAAGGAAUUGACGGGGGCCCGCACAAGCGGUGGAGCAUGUGGUUUAAUUCGAAGCUACGCGAAGAACCUUACCAGGUCUUGACAUACUAUGCAAAUCUAAGAGAUUAGACGUUCCCUUCGGGGACAUGGAUACAGGUGGUGCAUGGUUGUCGUCAGCUCGUGUCGUGAGAUGUUGGGUUAAGUCCCGCAACGAGCGCAACCCUUAUUAUCAGUUGCCAGCAUUAAGUUGGGCACUCUGGUGAGACUGCCGGUGACAAACCGGAGGAAGGUGGGGAUGACGUCAAAUCAUCAUGCCCCUUAUGACCUGGGCUACACACGUGCUACAAUGGAUGGUACAACGAGUUGCGAACUCGCGAGAGUAAGCUAAUCUCUUAAAGCCAUUCUCAGUUCGGAUUGUAGGCUGCAACUCGCCUACAUGAAGUCGGAAUCGCUAGUAAUCGCGGAUCAGCAUGCCGCGGUGAAUACGUUCCCGGGCCUUGUACACACCGCCCGUCACACCAUGAGAGUUUGUAACACCCAAAGUCGGUGGGGUAACCUUUUAGGAACCAGCCGCCUAAGGUGGGACAGAUGAUUAGGGUGAAGU